ensembl:snoRNA Gm22386 predicted gene, 22386
CCUGCCCCUAGAGGCAAGUGUGGCUGCUUAUCACCUGUACUGAUCAGUAGGUGACCGAGAGGAAAGAGGCUAUGAGGCUCCUAUGCUCAGUGCUCUAAUCUAUGAACAUUUGGAAGGAUUCAUAGCCAAAAAUA